rnacentral:rRNA from 1 species
AACGAACGCUGGCGGCAGGCUUAACACAUGCAAGUCGAGCGCCCCGCAAGGGGAGCGGCAGACGGGUGAGUAACGCGUGGGAAUCUACCCAUCUCUACGGAAUAACACAUGGAAACGUGUGCUAAUACCGUAUACGUCCUUCGGGAGAAAGAUUUAUCGGAGAUGGAUGAGCCCGCGUUGGAUUAGCUAGUUGGUGGGGUAAAGGCCUACCAAGGCGACGAUCCAUAGCUGGUCUGAGAGGAUGAUCAGCCACACUGGGACUGAGACACGGCCCAGACUCCGACGGGAGGCAGCAGUGGGGAAUAUUGGAUAAUGGGCGCAAGCCUGAUCCAGCCAUGCCGCGUGAGUGAUGGAGGCCCUAGGGUUGUAAAGCUCUUUCACCGGUGAAGAUAAUGACGGUAACCGGAGAAGAAGCCCCGGCUAACUUCGUGCCAGCCGCCGCCGUAACAC